AGAGUACAUAAUUGUGUGUUGGGGAAAGCAAAAUGCAUUUAAAAAAAAAAACUCAUGUUUUUUUUUUAACUCAUGCUUGUAUUUAGCAAGGUAUUAACUGUUCUACUUCUGAAUUAUGGGUUUACAGGACACUGUUAGUUCCUUCUCUGUGCCUUUUGAAAAUUGCUUGACUCUUUUUUUUUAAACAAUACACAUGAUGAUAAUACUUGUUAACUUAUUUAUCAAGCAUGUACUUUUAGAUUAUGCUUCAUCUCACUCAGUCUUCACAUUAUUUUCUAUCUCUUUAUUUUCCAGAAGGGAAAAGAGGCUCAAGGAAGGAUAAGUAACUUGUUCAAGUACUGGCUCCUGAGCUCAGAGAAGAUACAGAGAGGAUCACACUGACGUGAGCACUGACCACAAAGGGAAUGAGAUACUCCAAGAAAUGCCCCUUCCCUGUGGUGACAGGAUGGAAACUGCCAACCUCUCUGCAGGCGCCCCUCUGGCUGGAAGGAGGCACCAGAACACACUGCCACACUGCAUGCUGCAGUGUGUGACACGCUGCUGUUUCUUAAGAGCCUGUGUGAGAGGUCAGUGCCACCAAGUGGCUGAAAGAUCUCUGAUGACGUAA
rnacentral:lncRNA from 1 species